rnacentral:rRNA from 1 species
UACGUAGGGCGCAAGCGUUGUCCGGAAUUAUUGGGCGUAAAGCGCGUGUAGGCGGCUUUGCAAGUCGGGUGUGAAAGCCCUCAGCUCAACUGAGGAAGUGCGCCCGAAACUGCAGAGCUUGAGUGCCGGAGAGGGUGGCGGAAUUCCCCAAGUAGAGGUGAAAUUCGUAGAUAUGGGGAGGAACACCGGUGGCGAAGGCGGCCACCUGGACGGUAACUGACGCUGAGACGCGAAAGCGUGGGGAGCAAACAGG